UACGGAGGGUCCAAGCGUUAUCCGGAAUCAUUGGGUUUAAAGGGUCCGUAGGCGGUUUUGUAAGUCAGUGGUGAAAGCCCAUCGCUCAACGGUGGAACGGCCAUUGAUACUGCAAGACUUGAAUUAUUAGGAAGUAACUAGAAUAUGUAGUGUAGCGGUGAAAUGCUUAGAUAUUACAUGGAAUACCAAUUGCGAAGGCAGGUUACUACUAAUGGAUUGACGCUGAUGGACGGAAGCGUGGGGAGCGAACAGG
rnacentral:rRNA from 1 species